rnacentral:rRNA from 1 species
UACGUAGGGGGCAAGCGUUGUCCGGAUUUAUUGGGCGUAAAGAGCGUGUAGGCGGCCUGAAAGGUCAGCUGUGAAAACUCGAGGCUCAACCUCGAGACGUCGGUUGAAACCAUCUGGCUAGAGUCCGGAAGAGGAGAGUGGAAUUCCCGGUGUAGCGGUGAAAUGCGCAGAUAUCGGGAAGAACACCCGUGGCGAAGGCGGCUCUCUGGGCCUGUACUGACGCUGAGGAGCGAAAGCGUGGGGAGCGAACAGG